UCUACGGGUGGCUGCCGUGAGGAAUAUUGGUCAAUGGUCGCGAGCCUGAACCAGCCAAGUAGCGUGAAGGAUGACUGCCCUACGGGUUGUAAACUUCUUUUAUCAAUGAAUAAAGUGCGGCACGUGUGCCUUUUUCUAUGUCCUUUAUCAAUAAGGAUCGGCUAACUCCGUGCCAGCAGCCGCGGUAAUACGGAGGAUCCGAGCGUUAGCCGGAUUUAUUGGGUUUAAAGGGAGCGGAGAUGGGUUGUUAAGUCAGUUGUGAAAGUUUGCGGCUAAACCGUAAAAUUGCAAUUGAUACUGGCAGCCUUGAGUACAGUUGAGGUAGGCGGAAUUCGUGGUGUAGCGGUGAAAUGCUUAGAUAUCACGAAGAACUCCGAUUGCGAAGGCAGCUUACUAAACUGCCACUGACAUUGAUGCUCGAAAGUGUGGGUAUCAAACAGGAUUAGAUACCCUUGUAGUC
rnacentral:rRNA from 1 species